AUUGAACGCUGGCGGAAUGCUUUACACAUGCAAGUCGAGCGGCAGCGCGGGGCAACCUGGCGGCGAGCGGCGAACGGGUGAGUAAUACAUCGGAACGUGCCCAGACGUGGGGGAUAACUACUCGAAAGAGUGGCUAAUACCGCAUACGAUCUAAGGAUGAAAGCGGGGGACCGCAAGACCUCGCGCGUUUGGAGCGGCCGAUGGCAGAUUAGGUAGUUGGUGGGGUAAAGGCUUACCAAGCCCGCGAUCUGUAGCUGGUCUGAGAGGAUGAUCAGCCACACUGGGACUGAGACACGGCCCAGACUCCUACGGGAGGCAGCAGUGGGGAAUUUUGGGACAAUGGGCGAAAGCCUGAUCCAGCCAUUCCGCGUGCAGAAUGAAGGCCCUCGGGUUGUAAACUGCUUUGUACAGAACGAAAAAGACUCUUUCUAAUACAGAGAGUCCAUGACGGUACUGUAAGAAUAAGCACCGGCUAACUACGUGCCAGCAGCCGCGGUAAU
rnacentral:rRNA from 1 species